UACGUAGGGUGCAAGCGUUAAUCGGAAUUACUGGGCGUAAAGAGCGCGCAGGCGGUCGUGCAAGUCGCGUGUGAAAGCCCCCGGCUCAACUGGGGAGGGUCACGCGAUACUGCUCGACUCGAAGGCAGGAGAGGGAAGUGGAAUUCCCGGUGUAGUGGUGAAAUGCGUAGAUAUCGGGAGGAACACCAGUGGCGAAGGCGACCUCCUGGCCUGUUCUUGACGCUGAGGCGCGAAAGCUAGGGUAGCAAACGGG
rnacentral:rRNA from 1 species